AAACCUCAAAGCCCUAACAUAUUGGGGAUUCUAAAAUUGGCUCCAUCUUUUACCAAACUUAGUCUAAUUUUAGUCAAAUUUGAUUUCCAUCACCGCAAUAUACUCCCUCUCUACAAAUUGUGCUAUGUAUGGAGAGUAUGAGAGAUUUAGAAGGAAAAGAUUUUGGCGGUUUAAGGAAACAGAGAAAGGGAGGCAAGCUAUUGGAAGAACAUUGAUGUAGGGUUCAGACUCUUGGUGAGGCUUUUGCAGGUUUUUGAUAACUCACAUGAAGAUCACCAACAAUAAUUAUCACCGGUUUCAGUUGUUCACAAAAAUAAGAACUUCUGAAGGAUAAUAAGAUCAAUUAUUGGCAAGGAAUACUUGGAUUGUGGAAAGAUGGAUCCAUACAUAAAGCCUUGCUUCAGAAUUUAUUCUGGAAUUUAAGGGAAUUCGUUUAGAUUAGAAGUGAAUUUGACAUAGUUCCAUG